AAAGCAGACAUAUAUAGUUUUCACUUCAAUUAUUUAUGCAGCUAGCUGUUGAUUCCUUUUAGUCUGGUGACCCUGAGGAGAUGUUUCACUAACUCUGCUCUCCUCCCAUCCAAGGCUUUAUUCUGCUGUCCUUGGCUUUUCCUUGGGAAUGCUCUCCAGAGCCUUUCCUGGAAUCCUGAAUGGGCAGGACAGAAAGGAAAGUGUUGCCUGGGUAACUCAGCAAAAUAACCAGUUAGUUUGAGUGAGUGUGGCUCAGCCAGCUGAGAGCAUUUGGGCACUGAAGUGUGCUCCUUUUCCAGGGCCACGCACUGAAACACCCCAAGAAAUUCCCUCUUUCUAGCUGACUCAUCCAGCAUGAAUGCCCUGGAUUCCUGGAUAUGUCCAAACCAGGACAGAGCCCAGGAGCUCAAGUGAGGAAGGGGCUGUGCCUGUGGUGUGGCAGUCACAGAUCAAUAGGGCACAAUUUUCAGCUCCAUUGUAACCUUCUCCUAAAACCCGGGUCCCAUCACCACUGUUGGAGUUUAAAAACCACUUGUGAACUUCAGCAGGGACUACCCAGUGCCCACAGCCAACUGGGCUGCUGCAAUUCCACCCUGGAACCCUGCCAGCACCUGCACUUUGUCGGGGUGAGCAAACAAAAAUCAAAUGCGUUUUGAAGGGAAUAAUUCACUGGGCUGAUAAUCAGUGCCUACAGCUUUAAUGUUUUGGGAAAAAUGUAAGAUAAAAACAGACACAAACCUGGCCUGCCGGUUGCCACCAAGAGAAGAAUCUCUGUUGUUUUCAUUCUCUUCAAACCUGGAGAAGGAAGCCUGGAAGGUUUUCCUAAAACAGCUGAGCACGUUCAAGUGAGGCAAGAACACCCAACAGUGCAAAGUGCUCAUGAAGAACUUUCCUGAACAUUACAUAAAGCCUGAGCCUCUUUAAGUACUUUCAUCCAACAGAUACAUCCACAAGGCAUUUAACAAGCCAUUAACAAAGCAGGAGAUCUUUUAGGCAACAAAAAUACGAACUUCAAGUGGGCAAAACUGGGAAAGGAAUUGGUGAAAGUGAAGCGGAGCGAGCCGAGCAGAGAUUCAGCUGGAUGAUCACGUAUCUUGCUACAGGUAUCACCAACCUAUCUUUAGGCACCUUCUGGAAAAACAGUUCACUGAUACCAGCUGGAUCAGCCCAGGAAUUUGUUUGAUGUGCUUAAGAGGUAACAAUAGCUCCUAAGGUGACAGCGUCUCCUUGGAGACAGCGAAUCCAUCCAGCCAGCGCCAGGAUCCCGGCAGGUUCCCCCUCUCCAGAGCCUCUGGAACUCCCUCCCUGUGCAGGGCCAGAGAUGGAAGAUAAGCUCUGCCUGUAGACAAAUAGCCCUGAGCAAGAUGUGAGGAUUUUAUGCAUCAGCCAGACAUGUCUGAAAGUUCCUCAGGUCUGACUACAAGCAAUCAGAAAUUCUUAAAAUCUUAUUCCUCCUGCUGCUCCAUCCUGAGGGAUGCACACAACACUCCACUGGUUUUACCCCAAAACAGAGGAACCCUCGGGCAGAACUGGGACCCCAGGCUCCCUUUCCCACUUCCUUCUGACUCCUUCAAGUACCUUGGCUGGUGUGACAUAGAGGAACACGGUGUUCGAGGAAAUCAGCUCCUCUGUCCCCGAGUCAGGGAAGAACCUCCCCAGCAAUAUAUACAUAUUCUUCCAGCAAGUGACUAAGUGCCAGUUCUGUGUCACAUCCCCAGCUGUAAAUCUUUUUCUCUGACCAGGGCCCUCGGAAGAAGAACUGUUUUUCAGAAAAGAAGAACAUACUCUGAAAAGAAGAAAACAAGUAACUGACCCAGAGAAAUGGGAAAAGAGGCUGCAAGAGAACUGGGAAAACUGUGCUGAGUUGAACCUUUCCUUCCAGGACUUGGGUGAUCUUUACCAGGUGGAAAACUUCAAAAGAAUCCUCCGAAGAUUAAUUCGGGUGGAAAAGCUUUGGUUGGUGGACAAUUCUUUGACAGACCUAAGUGCCAUAAGGUUGCCAAGAUGCAGAGAGCUAAAUGUAAAUAAAAACCACUUUACAUCCUUCAAACAGCUGCCAAAGAUCCCUCAGAUUCAGCACUUGUCUCUCGCUGAAAAUAACAUCACGACCCUGAGUGGGAUUUCAGACUUCAGACACACUCCACUUGAAUCCCUGAUCCUCAAGAGGAAUCCCUGUGAGUUCCAGGAAAGAUACAGACAGCUUGUGUUCUCCAAUUUGCCAAACCUGAAAAUACUGGAUGGCAUCCCAAAACUGCCAGAGGACUGCUCACCCCCUGAUGUCAAGUUUUUUUACAGAAUAUGUACUAUACUCUAGCGCAGUAUUUUUGUAGGAUCACAGUUGUGCUACAACCACCUUGAUUAAAAGAGACUAUAAAUCCUGGUUAUGGAAGUUCUAUUUUAUUUUUUUUUUACUGGUCAAAGAGAUAUUGAAACAGAAAUAAAACAUUUUUGAGUGCA